rnacentral:tmRNA from 1 species
GGGGAUGAUCGGUUUCGACGUUGACGUGUGUGUCGAGUGAAGCGGGUCGAGGAUGCAGGGUCAUCUCGUUAACGAUCCUUGCAAAACAAUAGGUGCUAAAUCUAACGACCGCACCGAGUUCGCCCUCGCCGCCUGAUAAAGGCCUUCAACUAGCGAGCUGCGACUCUGCCGGCCUAGGUCUGCUUUCGGCCUAGCUCCCGGUAUCAGUUUAGAAAGCCACUGCUGACGAUGUUUGUUGGGGACAUCGUUGGGACUUCUACCCAACUCCGUCUGUUGAGCACGGUGUUCGUGCCAAGCUCAGGACCUAAGAAACAUUCUUCACGAACUGCACCCGGAGAAGCCUCGGUGCAUCGUCGACGGACGCGGGUUCGAUUCCCGCCAUCUCCACUC